rnacentral:misc_RNA from 1 species
AAGACUAUAGACCUGCGGAGUACCUGCGGAGGAUCAUUAACGUAUCUAUGAUGGGGUGCGGAGCGCCCUGCUCCGGUCGAACGGCCGUGCAGUGGGUGCGCCGCCCCCGUCCCACCUCACAAACCCACUGUGAACAUUCACCGGUGGAGGGGGCUCGGUCUGCGCCGUGUCCCCGAUGCCGAAUACCCAAACUCCAGUUGCAAAGAACGUCGUGCGGACUCGGUGCCGCCUAAAACAUGU